rnacentral:rRNA from 1 species
AUUGAACGCUGGCGGAAUGCUUUACACAUGCAAGUCGAACGAUGAACCUUAGCUUGCUAAGGGGAUUAGUGGCGAACGGGUGAGUAAUGUAUCGGAACGUAUCCAAUAAUGGGGGAUAACUAGUCGAAAGAUUAGCUAAUACCGCAUACGUCCUACGGGAGAAAGCUAGGGACCUUCGGGCCUGGCGUUAAUGGAGCGGCCGAUAUCUGAUUAGCUAGUUGGUGGGGUAAAGGCUCACCAAGGCGACGAUCAGUAGCUGGCCUGAGCGGACGAACAGCCACGCUGGAACAGAGACACGGUCCAGACUCCUACGGGAGGCAGCAGUGGGGAAGUUUGGACAAUGGGCGAAAGCCUGAUCCAGCCAUUCCGCGUGAGUGAAGAAGGCCUUCGGGUUGUAAAGCUCUUUCGCAAGGGAAGAAAACUUAAGCUCUAACAUAGCUUGAGGUUGACGGUACCUUGAUAAGAAGCACCGGCUAACUACGUGCCAGCCGCCGCAGUAA